UAUUUGUAUUUUUAACAGAGAUGGGAUUUCACCGUGUUAGCCAGGAUGGUCUCGAACUCCUAACCUCGUGAUCCGCCUGCCUCGGCCAUCCACAGUGCUGGGAUUACAGGCAUGCGCCACGGCGCCCGGCCUCCUACAGUGCUGGGAUUACAGGCUGAGCCCCCACGCCCAGCUUCCCAUAGUGCUGGGAUUACAGGCGUGAGCCCCCGUGCCUGGCCUCCCACAGUGCUGGGAUUCUAGCACCCGACCUCCCACAGUGCUGGGAUGACAGGCCGAGCCCCCGUGCCCAGCCUCCUACCUGUGGUGGUUUCCAGCCCUGAGGUUGAGGACAAACCUCUCGUGUUUAACUUGGGAGGAGAUGUGUACGUUCCUUUUCUUUUUUGGACUCUGAGUAUGAGGCAGGCUGUUCUGAGGUCCCCGUGGGGUGAGCCUGUCUGUCCUCCCUCAGAGCCCACCGUUCCUAUCAUCAUCUAGCACCUGUCCGGUUCCCCACGUGAGCCUUGGGCAGGACGCUGCAGUGUUGAUGGUUUGGGUUACGUGGCGUUUACCUGGGCGCCGUCCUUGCUGAAAAAGGAAACGUCCACACUGAAUGUUUCUGGGGCGCGUGGUGUGUGUCAGGCGCCCACCCUGUCCCACUCUCCCCAAGGGACAGUAGUACGGCACACUGGGGCCACCAGCCAGCUCAACUCAUCCUCCUGUGUCACGCACCCCCGAGGGCGCAGGAGGCCUGAGGAGUGGCUACUGGAGCCGUGUGUUAGGCAGAGGCUUCUGACCAUGUCUGAGCUCUUUACCCCCAAUCUCGCAGCCGGCGGAUUCCCAUGCCCGGUGCAGCCUGUUGCCAGCCAGCCUUUGAGACCCAGAGCUCCAGGGCUUGUCAGAGGCAGCAUGGGGCUCCAGUGGUCCCGAGUCUCAUUUCCCUGCCUGCUCUUUAGGCCUUUGGCACCCAUGGUCACUUCACUGGUUUUCCAUUUGGCUUCUCACCUGGGAAAUACAAAAAUAGCCCCUCCUGAAGAUAAAAUCGUUCAGAAACAGAGCAAUAAUUCUGACUCAUUAACUUCUACCUACUCAAAAAAGUCUGCCAUGAUGAUGGACCGAAGUGAGGCUUUUUAACCCACAAGUAACCUUUUUAUUUUUUUGAGACAGUCUUGCUCUGUCUGUCACCCAGGCUGGAGUACAGUGGCAUGAUCUUGGCUCACUGCAGCCUCGACUUCCUGGGCUCAAGUGAUCCACCUCAGCCUCCCAUGUGGCUGGAACCACAGGCACGUGCCACCAUGCCUGGCUAUUUUUUUGUUGAGCUGGGCUCUCGCUUUGUUGCCCAGGCUGGUCUUGAACUCCUCGGCUCAAGCAAUCCUUCCCACUCAGCCUCCUGUAGUGUCGAGAAUAUAGGCGUGGGCUACUACACCUGCUUCAGCCGCUUCUAUAAAACCGCUGACCUGUGUGUGGAGGACAGGCCAGGUGUGUGCUCACUGCGCUGCGAAGAUGUUUUGUCACGUGACUUUCCCUGGGUUUCCAUUUCUUUUUUUCUGCUUUCCUCAAAAACUAAUAGAAGACCGGCUGCGGUAGCUCAGGCCUCUAAUCCCAGCACUUUGGGAGGCUGCAGAUGGCGGAUCACAAGGCCAGGAGUUCGAGACCAGCCUGGCCAACAUGAUGAAACCCUGUCUCUACCAAAAAUACAAAAAUUAGCUGGGUGUGAUGGUGGGUGCCUGUAAUCUCAGCUACUCAGGAGGCUGAGGCAGGAGAAUUGUUUGAACCCCAGAGGCGGAGGUUGCAGUGAGCCAAGAUCGUGCCAUUGCACUCCAGCCUGGGCAACAGGGCAAGAUUCCGUCUCAAAAACAAACACUAUUAGAAAAUGCUCUGGAGGUGGCGGGGAGUUGUUGAUUUGUGAGGACAGAUUGAAAGCAACUCCCAGGGUGGCCUUGUCCACCUCCCCAUCGAGAAUAUGGCUGCCGGCCUCUUUGAAGAUUGUGGUCUGGCAUAAGGAGAGGUGCAGGCGCCUGGUUCUGAGCACCUUGGAAUUUCCAGCCGCACAGAAUCUGGUGCCCUCCCCUCCACCCUCACAAGGAGCUGCCAUCCUGUUUGGAUUUUCUGUUUGUGGACCAGAAACAAACGUUUUUCCAAAGGAUUAGCAAAUAGGUUGAUUUCCUGUGUAACGCUGCUCUGGGGCCUCUUCCUCAUCCUGGCAGAAGGAGCCUGGAGCCCAUGAGGCAGCCAGCACUGUGCCCUUGCUCAGUCGUGCUGUCCCCUCCCUCUCCCUCAGUCUCUUCUCCAUGCCCAAGUCAGUUUCCAGCCGCUGGUCUUCAUGGCAUUCCCAGCACAGCUGGACACCAAGAGGCAAAACCCAAGGCCUGGCUUGGCCGUGUUAACGAUUGUACAGACAUUUUUUUAAAUAACUUUGUGUAAUACUUUUCUAGAAUAGUAAGUUCUUGUUGAACUGUCACAGAUGAGCUUCUAGGAACACACCGGGUGUGGUUACUUCCACUGGGUGUGUCCAUGGUCGUGGUCUGUGCCUUUGUAAACAAACAGAACACUUGAACCACCUUCCGAAUUGGGUCAUCGGCUUCUUUACAUUGAUACUUAGAGAUUUGCAGCUCUCUAACUUUCAAGGAAACUUCCCCUACUGAAAGGCAUAAAAAGGUUAAAAAAGAAAAUCCGAGAGUCCCAAUUCCCUGUAUAACAGCAUUAAAAUAAUCUGCCUGCCUGGAAAGAUGAGAACACUGUUGCACAACCCAAAAUGUGUUUUUAAUUUGUGAAAAAUUACCAUGGUGAGUCAGACAGUCAUUUUAAACAGCUGAACAGAGACUAUCAUCAGCAAAUAGAGCUCAGCUUUGUAGCUGCCUUUAAAAUCCUUGUCCCAAAUCCGGUGAGCUCUGCUUGCUGCCGCCGCGCUCCUGGGUGAUCACUCAGACGGGUCAGUGGGAAUAACGGGCCAACAAGACAGCUUUUUACAUGUGUCCAAAGGAUGGCCUUUCGAAGGCCUGGAAGUAUUUCACUGUUGGAAGAAGUAAACAAGAAUGACAUUCCAGAUGGAAAUAGAAUUCUCUCUCUUGCCUUUGACCAACAUGGUACUAAGGGGUUUCUUCUUUCCCAAUGUAUGUACGUGCCCUGCUGGGGGCCUUACUUUAUAGAAUGAGAGCAUCUGAGCUUCCCUAAUGAAUCUGGCUAGUUCUGUGUCUGGCUGAGGAUACAGGAGUGGGACAUCCACUCUCGGAUCCCUCAGAGCACAGAAACCUUCAGCUUUGCUGUCUCUGAAGUAUUUCCUCCAGUUUCCCUGCGGGCCCCUAUGUUUGAGUUUGAUGGCUGCUGGAUCCUCACUCAACGAAAACUCGGUUGGAAACUGUUCCGCCUGGCAGUCCUUUUUUGUUGUUUUCCAUCUCAUUUCCCUUCCAUCUGAAAGUGGCAUUCAGCUGACUUGCUCAUUUAGACUGUUCACGGAGUCUGAAUCUGCCAACGUGGUGUUGGAGGCUCCACCUUGAAAAGGGCCACAGUCAGGGCAACUUUCCCCAUACAGGAAAACUUGAAAAUUACAUCAACAGUCUACGUCACAGCCAAAUUAUAUUUCCUUUAUACCAAACAAAACUAUGGAGAACUAAAAGUACAUCACACAAAACGUUUAUAGUGUUUUGCAUGUGACCUAUUUCAGUAUUUAUAUAACUAGAUUAGUGCUUUCUAGCAAACGGUUCUGUUAAUUAGCGAGUCACUGUUGAUUCUGCUGUGGUGGUAAGUUGAUACCGUGUAACUAAUCCCGUGGAUGCCUCCUGGUUAUUUUUGUCCAAACGAAGCAGCCGUGGUAGUAGCUGUCUAUGAUUCUUGCUCAGCAAAGUAAAAUAAAUGUUAAAUAUGG
rnacentral:lncRNA from 1 species